rnacentral:tRNA from 2 species
GGCGCGGUAGCCAAGUGGUAAGGCCGGGGACUGCAAAUCCUCUAUCCCGGGUUCGAAUCCCGGCCGCGCCUCCA